GCGCACCAGGCGAGAAAACUUCACACUGUGCGAAAGCACGAUGAGGGAAUCCCAAGUGCUUGCACGUAAGUGUAAGCUGUUUCUCUGUUUAAAACGCAGAGAGAGUAAGGGCUGGGUAAGACGGGUGCCAGCCGCCGCGGUAAUACCUGCAGCUCAAGUGGUGACCGUUAUUAUUGGGCCUAAAACGUCUGUAGCCGGUUUAAUAAAUGCCUGGGUAAAUCGUGUAGCUUAACUAUACGAAUUCCGGGUAGACUGUUAAACUCGAGACCGGGAGAAGUUAGAGGUACUCCUGGGGUAGAGGUGAAAUUCUGUAAUCCUAGGGGGACCACCAGUGGCGAAGGCGUCUAACUAGAACGGGUCUGACGGUGAGGGACGAAGCCCCUGGGGCGCAAACGGGGAUUAGAUACCCGUGUAGU
rnacentral:rRNA from 1 species